UAUUGCACAAUGGGGGAAACCCUGAUGCAGCAACGCCGCGUGAAGGAAGACGGUUUUCGGAUUGUAAACUUCUGUUCUUAGUGAAGAAAAUGACGGUACCUGACUAAGAAGCACCGGCUAACUACGUGCCAGCAGCCGCGGUAAUACGUAGGGGGCAAGCGUUAUCCGGAUUUACUGGGUGUAAAGGGAGCGUAGACGGAAGGGCAAGUCUGGAGUGAAAGCCCGGGGCUCAACCCCGGGACUGCUUUGGAAACUGUCCGUCUUGAGUGCCGGAGAGGUAAGCGGAAUUCCUAGUGUAGCGGUGAAAUGCGUAGAUAUUAGGAGGAACACCAGUGGCGAAGGCGGCUUACUGGACGGUAACUGACGUUGAGGCUCGAAAGCGUGGGGAGCAA
rnacentral:rRNA from 1 species